rnacentral:sRNA from 1 species
CUGACAGUGAGAACAAGUGGUGGUGAGGGCUCUGCACUUACAGAAGGUUGGAGCAUAAUCAAGAGGUCAUUCUCAGAGUUGGUGAUCCUGAAGGGUCUGUUCGCCUCCCAGUCACCAUCUGCUUUAACAGGCUCGAAGUCUCUUGAAAGUACAGUGACUUGGCCAGUGAGGUGGUCAAUGCAUUUUUGACCACCCCCUUCUCCAACCUUUUCUAUUAAAGCAACCUGGCUUCCAUAAUCCACAUAGGUUUACCUUGUUUACCAUUGGUGAUGUACCAGAUAUUUAACUACAUCUAAUCAGGAUGCAGCAGUCGCCUGCAAAGUGGGUGGGGUGCCCAAUGCUCAGCACCCUGACCAUCACAACUUCUGAAAGGAAGUCACAUGAAUGUUGACAGUCUGGAGGAGCAAGAGGAAGCAGGUGCUCAUCUAAAGCAUUGAUGAGUGCUGGAACCUCGUUGUUCUUGGCCAUGCCCUUUUUACAGCACCUUGCUGUCCUGAGGUAUUCAACUUACCGAGUCAGCUCUCCUUUGUCCCCAAAGGAUGAGAACUUUUGGAAGGUGACAGCAAAAGAAAUUUUCAAGCUCAGCAAACUUGGAGAAAAGGAGAGGUGAGUUGAAUUAGUGCAAGUGCCUACAUCAACUGACAUCAAUUAAACAAUAUAGGAGGGAGGUGUUGGAAUUCAUCUUUCAAGAAGAUUCAGGGCUGCCAACACUGGGAUAACCAGUGUACACCACCUUGCAGGCCUACAAAAAGAGUUCAUGGAGUGGCAAGCCAUGAACUGAAGUUGGAUGGUGCCCAUGUGGAAGAAGGGCAAGGAGGGAGGAAAUGGGGGAUAUGGGAGUGAGGAUGGGGAGGAGUUUGGCCAGGGUCACAAUGUCAGUUCUUCAGCUCUAGGAUGGGAGAAGAUGAUGAGGAGGAUGGUGAGGAGGAUGGCAAGUAAGGGGGUGGUGCGGGCUUGAUUGGUGCUUGGGGGAUGAAAUAGAGAAUUUUGUAUAUAGGCUCUAAAUGGAUAUGCAAUUACUAUCCAUUGCAGUAUUUCAG